GAUGAACGCUGGCGGCGUGCUUAACACAUGCAAGUCGAACGAAGCACUUUAUUUGAUUUCCUUCGGGACUGAUUAUUUUGUGACUGAGUGGCGGACGGGUGAGUAACGCGUGGGUAACCUGCCUUGUACAGGGGGAUAACAGUUGGAAACGGCUGCUAAUACCGCAUAAGCGCACAGCAUCGCAUGAUGCAGUGUGAAAAACUCCGGUGGUAUAAGAUGGGCCCGCGUUGGAUUAGCUAGUUGGUGAGGUAACGGCCCACCAAGGCGGCGAUCCAUAGCCGACCUGAGAGGGUGACCGGCCACAUUGGGACUGAGACACGGCCCAAACUCCUACGGGAGGCAGCAGUGGGGAAUAUUGCACAAUGGGCGAAAGCCUGAUGCAGCGACGCCGCGUGAGCGAAGAAGUAUUUCGGUAUGUAAAGCUCUAUGAGCAGGGAAGAGAAUGACGGUACCUGACUAAGAAGCACCGGCUAAAUACGUG
rnacentral:rRNA from 1 species